rnacentral:rRNA from 1 species
UACGUAGGGAGCAAGCGUUGUCCGGAAUCAUUGGGCGUAAAGCGCCCGUAGGCGGCCUGACAAGUUGGACGUGAAAGCUCCUGGCUUAACUGGGAGAGGCCGUUCAAAACUGUCAAGCUAGAGUCUGGAAGAGGAGAGCGGAAUUCCCGGUGUAGUGGUGGAAUGCGUAGAGAUCGGGAGGAACACCAGUGGCGAAAGCGGCUCUCUGGUCCAAAACUGACGCUGAGGGGCGAAAGCGUGGGGAGCGAACGGG